UUCUUAUUGUAGUGUUUUUUUGUGACACUUGGGCAAACCGAUGAGCAGGGAACCUUGACCUCACCGUCACCUCUCCGUUUUGUCUGAGCGGACGGUGCAGAAGUGGACGGCCGAGGGCUUCUGGUGAUGUGAGCGGUUGGGUUAAAGAGGUCUGUGGAGUCUGGCCUGCCCGCAGUGAGAGGAAGGAGCCCCAUCUGAGACAGCACAACAAUUUCCACUCACAGUUGAGCGGCGCGGGGCGUCAGGAACUGGACUGAGCGCACGGAGCGACUGCUGCACACAUCAAAACCUCAGCAGGCAUCAGCAGAAUUCUGAUGGAUCCCGUUUAUUCUUUGGCACAGAAGUGGAAAAUGUGCUGGCAUUGAGUCGGGGAAAAGUUGAGUGAAGGAAAGCUCCCAAGGCAAAGAGGGUUGGUGGGGGUGGGGGAGCAAGUUCAGCCCUGUUACAGUUGUGCUCACAUAAAUUUUUUAUCUCUGAAAAUUCUGAAAAUUUAGCAGCAUCAUAUCACUGACAGAAAACAAAGUCUCUCAAGUAAAUGCACAGAUUUCUAUUCCUACCUCUAUAUAUUUCAUUUUAAUUGUUGCUGAAAUCUUCCUUCUGCGCGGUUUUGAUGAGAACCCUAACAAUGACAUUCCUUCGCCGACCUCUCCACCCUGAGUUGUAAUUUGGUUUCCACAGUGGCCAUGGGCCACACGCUUAAAAUUGCAGAGUGACUUUUUUUAAAAUUCAUUUUUACCUUUGGGCUCGCUUCGAUCAUCACCCCUCUCUUCGAUCCCAUCGUGAGUCACAUGUGCACUCAUGUACAGUUGCAGAAAAUGGCAUUUGGAAAGAAACGGUGAGUCCUCACAGGGAAUACCACGGGCCUCCACCGCAGCACAAAGGAACUUCUGUUGCUCCAGCCACUCUUUGUAAUCUUUGGACGAUUUCAUGAGGUCUUUUUCUUACCCGCUAUGACUGCAGCUGUGGCAAACCUCCAGGCCAACUCUCACUCCGAGCAGCGAUACCACAGAGAAGUCAUCUAGCAAGCGGAGAUGCUGAAACCAGUCAUAUAGAGGGGGUAGUAAAAUCCCUGAAAGUUAAUGGGGUCGAGGCUAAUUCGUCAAUUAUAUCCAAAUGUGGAAACGUUUGUGGGCAUAAGAGGGAAACAGAAGGCUGUCUGAUUAGGUGAUUUUGAGGAUGAGUACUGCUAAUGAAUACUACAUGCACUAAAUCAGGAUUCACUUCCAUCUUCUCAGGAAGCAUCCAUCCACAACUGAGUGAAUGAAAGAAACUUAAAUCACCCAACAAUGUGUUUUCAGUGAAAGGUCUCGUUACCGGAGAAAUCUCCAGGUGCCUACAGGAGAGCGGAUCUAAUUUAUUCAGCUAGUUCCUUAAACGGCUCUAGGAGUCAACGAUAUCAGAAGAAAAAGUCUCUUGGCUUCACUAAUGAAAAUGUCCUUAAAUCUACAAACAGUCUCCCAAGUUUUUUUUGCGAUGUCAGCCAAAAGACAGAUCAUGCUAACUACAACGUGUCAGUUAUCAUGCCAGAUUCGACUUGAUUUAUAGGUUUUGGUCACUUUUUUCCCCUUUUCCUCAGGGCAGCAUUUUUAUCAGGUAAAAUCCCAAUAGCAAACUUUAUUUCAAGUGAAAUAUCUAUAAUAUUGAUCUGCAGCCUUGGCAAAAAAAAAAAAAAAGCAAAAGCUAUAAAAUGGAGCCAAAGUUUUUUGGUUUUUUUUCUAUGUUCAGUUGACACACAGAUCAAUAACAUAAACAUUAACAACAUUAUUUGAUUUGAAUCAUUGAGUUUGAAGUUGUGAGUUAUUUUCCACAGAAAGCAUCCCUUGCUCCUUUCUUCUGUGUUUAUCUUUUCUGUUUCCAAGACAAAGACAGAGUCAUUGUCGCACUUAACUCUACUGAGAUCUUCUUUUCCAUAGAAAGUGCACCCAGACCUGUGUUUUAUGUGAUUCUAUGUUUGUUUUCUAUCCUCUCAAACCUCAGUUGUCCAAGGAAGGUGGCCGCUCACACUGAGCCUAUUCUGAUUUAUUUUUUCUUCUGUUCCCUCCCAUUGUUGCCCCCAUUCUUGCUCAGGAAAAGGGAUCGCUGCAAAGCCAUUGACUCAAUGUCUUAAAUAAAUGACCUUCAUUGACCAAUUGACAGUAGAAUCUUAAAUGACCUUCUGUGUUACAUGUAGGAUUAGCUUAGAGAAUAUUUACAUAUAGCUAUAUAAUAGGAAUAAAAUUGGACCUGUCUUUCUUUUGAUUGCAGUGAACUGGAACAGCAUAAGCAAACUGAACUGAAUCAGAUUUGAUUAGCUUCGACUGAGACAUAUGUUUUUUUUCUUUUUCUGGAUUAGCAAGAAUAAAGAUAUUGCUGUAAUCCUUCCAUAAAAUGUAGUCAUGGCUCACUG